AGAGUUUGAUCCUGGCUCAGGACGAACGCUGGCGGCGUGCCUAAUACAUGCAAGUAGAACGCUGAAGAGAGGAGCUUGCUCUUCUUGGAUGAGUUGCGAACGGGUGAGUAACGCGUAGGUAACCUGCCUUGUAGCGGGGGAUAACUAUUGGAAACGAUAGCUAAUACCGCAUAACAAUAGGUGACACAUGUCAUUUAUUUGAAAGGGGCAAUUGCUCCACUACAAGAUGGACCUGCGUUGUAUUAGCUAGUAGGUGAGGUAACGGCUCACCUAGGCGACGAUACAUAGCCGACCUGAGAGGGUGAUCGGCCACACUGGGACUGAGACACGGCCCAGACUCCUACGGGAGGCAGCAGUAGGGAAUCUUCGGCAAUGGGGGCAACCCUGACCGAGCAACGCCGCGUGAGUGAAGAAGGUUUUCGGAUCGUAAAGCUCUGUUGUAAGUCAAGAACGAGUGUGAGAGUGGAAAGUUCACACUGUGACGGUAGCUUACCAGAAAGGGACGGCUAACUACGUGCCAGCAGCCGCGGUAAUACGUAGGUCCCGAGCGUUGUCCGGAUUUAUUGGGCGUAAAGCGAGCGCAGGCGGUUUGAUAAGUCUGAAGUUAAAGGCUGUGGCUCAACCAUAGUUCGCUUUGGAAACUGUCAAACUUGAGUGCAGAAGGGGAGAGUGGAAUUCCAUGUGUAGCGGUGAAAUGCGUAGAUAUAUGGAGGAACACCGGUGGCGAAAGCGGCUCUCUGGUCUGUAACUGACGCUGAGGCUCGAAAGCGUGGGGAGCGAACAGGAUUAGAUACCCUGGUAGUCCACGCCGUAAACGAUGAGUGCUAGGUGUUGGAUCCUUUCCGGGAUUCAGUGCCGCAGCUAACGCAUUAAGCACUCCGCCUGGGGAGUACGACCGCAAGGUUGAAACUCAAAGGAAUUGACGGGGGCCCGCAC
rnacentral:rRNA from 1 species